CUCGCGUGUUCAGCCAUGGUUAUACGACACCGUCAGGCUUAGCUCGUUAGUUUUGUUAGAUUAAUUUAAAUAAGCGAAACUAUGAUGUUUACAAAUAAAAUACCAGUUUUUCUAUUCGGAAGAUUUCCAUGCUUACGGCUUCGAAGUCAUCUAACACAAAUCUACGAACUGAGGAUCUGCUCAUGGAUUACUAUAUCGCUGGAGAUCGUCUGACCCUGCUGAGUAAGUUUGGUGAUCGUAUCUGGAGGACAUGGCUCACUUCUACCUGGCUGAGGUGCUGAUGGCCAUCGAUUCAGUCCACAGACUCGGUUCUGUGCACAGGUGGAGAACUUCAUUCCAUUGUGUGGACUCAGUGAGUCACCUGAAGAAAGAAGAAACUUUCAUUAUAAAGACACUUUCAUUUGGACAUCUAAAAUAAAAU